AUGAAUAUUGCCCUUCUAUCCCGGUGGCUGUGGCGUAUCACGCAGGGUCAUGGUGGCCUCUGGCUGGACAUUAUCCGAAAUAAGUACCUGCGCGGCCAACCCCUUGCCUUCUGCCAGAAAUCGGGAGGUUCUCAGUUCUGGCAGUCCCUCGUCCAGCUCCUUCCUAUGCUCCACAUUGGUACCUCUAUCUCGGUGGGGUCCGGCCUCUCGACGCUCUUC
rnacentral:rRNA from 1 species